rnacentral:rRNA from 1 species
ACUGAACGCUGGCGGCAUGCUUUACACAUGCAAGUCGAACGGUAACAGGUUAAGCUGACGAGUGGCGAACGGGUGAGUAAUGCAUCGGAACGUGCCCGGUCGUGGGGGAUAACGCAGCGAAAGCUGCGCUAAUACCGCAUACGAUCUGAGGAUGAAAGCGGGGGACCGUAAGGCCUCGCGCGAUCGGAGCGGCCGAUGUCAGAUUAGGUAGUUGGUGGGGUAAAGGCUCACCAAGCCAACGAUCUGUAGCUGGUCUGAGAGGACGACCAGCCACACUGGGACUGAGACACGGCACAGACUCGUACGGGAGGCAGCAGUGGGGAAUUUUGGACAAUGGGCGAAAGCCUGAUCCAGCAAUGCCGCGUGCAGGAAGAAGGCCUUCGGGUUGUAAACUGCUUUUGUACGGAGCGAAAAGGUCUCCUCUAAUACAGGGGGCUCAUGACGGUACCGUAAGAAUAAGCACCGGCUAACUACGUGCCAGCCGCCGCGGUAA